AGGCCUUCACAAGGCGUUCCUUUCCCGUCCUAUCCAUGCAGCAGAGGCCGACUGGCAGGAUCACCACAGUGUUGCUUCUGCACAUUCCAUCGCUGUCCAUGCGUGAGAGCCAUGACACAGGACUUGGUCCGAGGUCAAGUGUAAAUCCCAGCUGUGGAGGCUCCUCCAAGAGGUAAAAUUGUGAUAAUUUCAAGGUGGCUUGAGUUCUCGCCUUUCUAGACCUGAGCCAGGCAGGCAGUUUGGGAGCUCCCUACCCUUCCUAGUGGGUGAGGCAAACAGGAAGCCUGGAAACAAAUUUCAGAUGCUGAACUUUUCCCUCCACACCAAAGAGGCUACAUAACAAAUACCGUUCUGGUAUAGAUCUAAAGAACCCAUUGAUCAACUUAAAUUCUUCAGUGCAGUGAUAUGUAAUGUGAUUUCUGAAAGUGA
rnacentral:lncRNA from 1 species